AGUGAACGCUGGCGGUAGGCCUAACACAUGCAAGUCGAACGGCAGCACAGUAAGAGCUUGCUCUUAUGGGUGGCGAGUGGCGGACGGGUGAGGAAUACAUCGGAAUCUACUUUUUCGUGGGGGAUAACGUAGGGAAACUUACGCUAAUACCGCAUACGACCUCGGUGAAGACAGGGACCGUUCGGGCCCGUCGCGCGAUU
rnacentral:rRNA from 1 species